CUUUUUUCCUUUCCUUUUCUUUUCUUUUUCUCCUUUCCUCUCCUCUCGUUCUCUCCCCCAUCCCCUCCUCUCUCCCUUUCUUUCUUUCUUUUUUUUAAAGAUUUAUUUAUUUAUUCUAUAUAAGUACACUGUAGCUGUCUUCAGACAUACCAGAAGGGGGGCAUCAGAUCUCAUUACCGAUGGUUGUGAGCCACUAUGUGGUUGCUGGGAUUUGAACUCAAGGCCUCUGGAAGAGCAGUCAGUGCUCUUAACCGCUGAGCCAUCUCUCCCAGCCCUCUUUUUUUUUUUUUUUUUAAGAAUUUAUUUUAUGUAUAUGAGUAUGCUAUUGUUGUCUUCGGACACACCAGAAGAGGGUGCCAGGUCCCAUUACAGAUGGUUGUGAGCCACCCUGUGGUUGCUGGGAAUUGAGCUCAGGACCUCUGGAAGAACAGUUCAGUGCUCUUAACCGCUGAGCCAUCUCUCCAGCCCCGAGAACUUUUUUUUUUUAAUGCAGAAUUUGGUUUCUAAACUCCUCCAGUGACUUGUACAUAAAGGGAGUCUCAAGGCAGGUCAGAUGAACAGUUUAGUCUGGAAAAUACUGCAAUUUUGUGCCCCCCGCCCCAGCAUCUUAAACUGUGGGGAACUGAAUGGGGAGGAUCACAAAAUAUAUGACAUUAGUAAAGGCUUCUGAAUGUGCAAAGAGCAAAAAGUUAUUUCAAAACCCAAGCUGGUGGCGAAGCUGUGAUGUUUCUGGCGCUUGCAUAGUUUUUCUGUAGCAUCAAGCACACGGUGGUCAUGCUCUGCAGUGAAUGGGUUUUCACACCACACAUUACCAAUGAAUACGGAAACUAGGCAGGGCAGUGUUCCUACCCUGUACACACAGUUUUCUGCCCUUAGGAAACACAACCGUUCAAUUGCAGAAAACAGGAAAUUUUUUUUAUGCCACUCAUAGCAGAUUAAUAAAUCUUUUGACUGUUUUUUUUUUUUUUUUCUGGAGCUGGGGACCGAACCUAGGCAAGUGCUCUACCAUUAAGCUAAAUCCCCAACCCCUUUUGACUGUUUUCUAUUAGAACAUUUGCCUGUAAAAGUUGCCGUUUGAGUUGUUCGUGUUCCAUUACAGAAAAUAGUUGACCUUUGGCCUGGGUUUAAGACAGCAUUUCCAACAACGUCUGAAGUGGCCCCACCCAUGUGUCUGCUGUUUGGUACAAUAUUGGUGAGGAGAAGCUCUGUCGGCAUUGCUGAUUAUAGGAUCAAAAUAUUGCCUCACUCUGAAAACACUGAAGAAGUUUCUGCGUCCCACGGUAUCAAAUAUUGAGGUAAUGCCAGGAUGUGGUGCAGGUGUGGAGGUCAGAGUUCAACUUUAAAGGUUAGUUCUUUCCUUCAACCUUUCCGUGGGUUCCUGGGAUCAGAUUAAACCGUGGUUGCUAUGCUAGCCCAGCAAGCACCUUUAAUUCACUGAGAAGUCUCACCAGAUAGAUUUUAAUUUUUUUUCUACAUAGGUAUAUGUACAUAGCGUGUAACACUAUGUCUGCAUGGGUUGGAGCCUAGAGGGCAGGUGAGAUAUUUCCUCAAUCGCUGUCACAUUUUGAGACCGGCUGUCUUACGGAACUGGAUCUCUCUCACUGGCUAGACCAAGCUGGCCAGCAAACCCCUGGAGGGAUCCUCCUGUCUCUGUCAUGUCCCCCCACCCCCACCCCAGGGCUGUGAUGGCAGGUGUGCGACAGUGCGGAUGCCAGGGAUCUGGUCUCAGGUUGUCAUGUUUGCAUCUCAAGCACGUUACUAACUGAGACACUUGUCCAGCCCCGCUGUUUAUUUUGGACCUAUAUUUAAAACCACUGCUACUAGCUUGUGCUAGGCAGUCUUACAUCAAUUCAUCAGAAUUCGUCAGAAGCUAAAAUCUUUUUUUUUUUUUUUUUUUUUUUUUUUUUUUGGUUCUUUUUUUCGGAGCUGGGGACCGAACCCAGCGCCUUGCGCUUCCUAGGUAAGCGCUCUACCACUGAGCUAAAUCCCCAGCCCCAAAAUCCUUUGAGAGGAUGGAAGCUCAAUUAAGAAAAUACCCCAGGGGGUUGGGGAUUUAGCUCAGUGGUAGAGUGCUUGCCUAGCAAGCGCAAGGCCCUGGGUUCAGUCCUCAGCUCCGGGAAAAAAAGAAAAAAAAAAAAGAAAAAAAGAAAGAAAAAAAAAAAAAAGAAAGAAAGAAAGAAAGAAAAUACCCCAGGCUGUGGACAAGACUGUAGGGGAUUUCCUUAAUUAGAGACUGAGGGGCCUCGCCCACUUGGGUGGUCCCGCCCACCGUGGGUGGAGCCACCCUGGGCUGGCGGUCCUGGAUUCUAUAAGAAAGCAGGCUGAGCAAGCCAUGGGGAGCAAGCCGGUAAGUAGUACCUUUCCAUGGCCCCUGCAUCAGCUCCUGCCUCCAGGUUCCCGCCCCCGCUUGAGUUCCUGUCCUGACCUCCUUCAGUGAUGGACUAUGAAGUGAAAGUGUGAGCUGAAUUAACCCUUCCCUCCCCAACUUGCUUUUGGCCAUUGUAACCCAAAGUAAGACGCAGCUCUUUUUAAUUCUUUCAAGACCAGGCCUGAUUACGUAGCCCAGGCUCAAGUGUGUGUGUGUGGGUGACGGGGUGGGGGUGGACAUGCAAAGCAGCCUUACAAUGAAUAUUUCACCUGACAGCUAAUUUUUAUGAGUAGAUUGAAUAUAAUAUAAUCCAUGCACAGGCAACCUCUAUUUCCUCACUCCGGUAUUAGCGAAUUUAUGAAGUGUAGCUGGAGAUGAAUAUUCACAGGUAAAGGCGGACAGUGCCAUCAAAGGGGUGGAGGGAGAAGUCUACCAGACUCCUUACUUUUUUUUUUUUUUUACUUUAUUUUUAAUCAUGUAUGCGUGUGUGCACGUGACUGUGUGUGGGUGCUCACGGAAGCCAGAGGCACUGGAUCUUUGGGAGCUGGGAGUUAUGGACAGUUUCAAGCUGCCUGAUACCUCGGGUCCUCUGCUGGAGUAGUACGUGCCCUUAACUGCUGAGUCACCUCUAGCUUCAGUUUGUCUUUGAGGCAGGGCUCACUGUGUAGCCUAGGUUAGCCUGGAGCUCACUAGGUAGUCAGGCUGCUCCCCUUGCUUCAGUCUCACAAGUGCUGGGGUUACAGGUAUGUGCCAUCACAACUUACCUGCCUCUUAGUGUAUCUGUUUAUUUUUAAGACUGCCUUCCCACCGUGCGUGCGUGCCUGUGGUAGGGCUAUUUCUGAUGCUUCCUUUUUUCAGUUUAUUUAGUUUUUUUUUUUUUUUUCCAGAGCUGGGGGUUGAACCCAGGGCCUUGCGCCUGCUAGGCAAGCGCUCUACCACUGAGCUAUCCCCAACCCUUUUUUCAGUUUAGAUAAUUCUACCCACCCAUUGCAUUGAAAUAUACUGGGUCCUCUUCAGAUACCACAUGUGACACUUGAAAAGUAGGCGCCAAGGACCUGUUCCUUCAAGACUGGGACUCAGAAGCUGUCCCCACCGAGAGGCUGAGUAGUAUGAAUGGGUUUUAAGGAAUCCUUCUUCUCCUUAAUCUUGAAUUUGUUGGGUUUAAUGUUCACAAACCACACGAGUGCAUGUCAGCCCAGGGAAACAGUAACUGCAGGUUGCAGAUGUCCUGACAUCUGCCCAUCCUCCCGGCAACCCUGUCUCCUCAGGCUCACCCUGGCGGCUCCCUCACCUGCUGGUACCAGUGUUUGACCAACCGUAGGAGGCUCUUCAGCUUAGUCGGCCUAUGCUUCACGAAGCUCCUCUGUAGCUCGCUGAAGGAAGGAGAGAAAUUUCCGGGGUAGCCGUUAGCCUUGAUCAGAUUCACAUAGACCUCGGCGGAGUUGGGACAGGAAGGUCCUGAGGAGAGUAGAAGCAAAGACUUGAGUAAAGACUGUGGAAUCCAGUAUGGACGAAGUGUUUGGGGAGGGCCUGGUCACUCAUUAGAUAGAUUAUGAUGGUGUUUUUCUGGUGAUUCAUAUUCUCUCUCUCUCUCUCUCGCUCACUCGCUCUCGCUCUCGCUCUCGCUCUCACUCUCACUCUCUUUCUCUUUUUCUUUCUUUUCUUCCUUCCAUCCUCUCUUUUUUGUUAAAGAAUUAUUUAUUUUAUUUAUAUGAGUACACUGUCACUGUCUUCAGACACACCAGAAGGGCAUCAGAUCCCAUUGCAGAUGGUUGUGAGCCACCAUGUGGUUGCUGGGAUUUGAACUCAGGACCUCUGGAAGAACACUCAGUGCUCUUAACCACUGAGCCAUCUCUUCAGUCCCUCCUUCCUUCCUUCCUUUCUUUCUUCCUUCCUUCCUUCCUUUUCUUUGUGUGUGUGACAAAUAUGGAACGAUAUUUGCCAGUGUUCAUAGGGGAGAACUGGCUCUAUGUCAUGCCAUGAAGAACUUUCUUCUUGAGGCUGGAUACCAUUGCUAGUAACCAUGGUAUAACACUGCACAGCCGGUAAUCAGUGUGUGUGUGUGUGAGAUACAAAAAUCAUUAUGGUAUCUUUGAGCUCCGCUUCUGGGAAAGGUCACACAGACCCAGUAAAUGCUACCUUGCUUCUGACUUGACUCCUCCCCCCGGUUGGGCCUUGGGUCUUUAAAAAUAAUCUUCCCACAGAAAGUCCUUUCCUCACCGUUGUUUGUUAGUUACUGGGGAAACCCCACUCUUUCCUCUGAUUACUCGCCACUAUUUGUCCUGUGUCCCUAGUGGCCUCUGUGAUAAGUUUCUGUUUCCCAGGUCCACAGGGCAAAUCACCCCAGCCCAGGUCACGGGUAGGAAGGAGGAAAGCAUGUGGCCCCGAGAGGAAAGAGGUCACAGUCUGGGGGUUGGAGGAAGGUCAGGCCAGGCAUGUGCUUCUGUUCCCCUUACCCAGGGCUCUGAAGGCGGGCACGAUGGUGACAGUGAUGGGCUCCCAGGUCUCCCUGGUCUGGAUAGUGAAGAUGAGACUACUGGGCACUUCUUCAAUCACACUCAGGUUACUGAGCCCGAGAUCCAGCAGGUCCCGGCAGUAAGACAUCCUUUUCUGUAUCAGUCUCAGAACAGCCUGGUGGUGUUUGGCCUCUUCCUGGAAGCUGUGGAAACAGCUCAGGAACACCACCAGCUCCACGUCUGUGGUACUCCUGAGUACUGUGCCAUUCCCAAAGCAGCCUACCUGUGAAAGACAGGACUCUGUCACCCCAAGGCCCUCUGCCAUAUGCCUAGCAACCUGGGGCUCUUCACGCAAUACACUCCUUUAGUAUAGAGCCCCCCAUACAUACACACAAGGCUAGCUGAGAAGGGUUGCCUCUCUCUCACAGCUGCAGACACACGGAGGAUGAAUUAUGCAGGCAGCGUCUCUGGCAGCUGGACUCCGGCACCCAGGCCUCUUUACCCUUUCUUUGCUGACACACAGCCUCUGGCUGACCUGGAACUAUGCUAUUUAGCUCAAGCUGUCCUUGAACUCACGAUCCUCCUGAAUUGGCCUCCCAAGCAUGGGCUACAGGAGUGGCCCACUGAGCAGCCCUUGCUUUAACCCCUGCACCGAACACCUUUGGAGAGUUGGUUUUGUCCAACCCAGAGAAAUGUCCCCUCCAAGGGAAUAAUGACUGAAUGCCCCC